rnacentral:rRNA from 1 species
AGAGUUUGAUCAUGGCUCAGAUUGAACGCUGGCGGAAUGCUUUACACAUGCAAGUCGAGCGGCAGCGCGGGGGCAACCCUGGCGGCGAGCGGCGAACGGGUGAGUAACAUAUCGGAACGUACCCCGUCGUGGGGGAUAACACAGCGAAAGCUGUGCUAAUACCGCAUACGACCUGAGGGUGAAAGCGGGGGAUCGCAAGACCUCGCGCGAUGGGAGCGGCCGAUAUCGGAUUAGCUUGUUGGUGGGGUAAAAGCCUACCAAGGCGACGAUCUGUAGCUGGUCUGAGAGGACGACCAGCCACACUGGGACUGAGACACGGCCCAGACUCCUACGGGAGGCAGCAGUGGGGAAUUUUGGACAAUGGGCGCAAGCCUGAUCCAGCCAUGCCGCGUGCGGGAAGAAGGCCUUCGGGUUGUAAACCGCUUUUGUCAGGGAAGAAACGGCUCGGGCUAAUACCUCGGGCUAAUGACGGUACCUGAAGAAUAAGCACCGGCUAACUACGUG